CCGACGACAAAAAUAGUCGUCGGCUAAAGUCUGGACUAUAGCCGACGACUUAUACGUGUGUCGUCGGCUAAAGUCACCACAGACGAGCUUUUCCCGACGAAAUCUUAGCCGACGAAACGUCGUCGGCUAAGAUCUUAGCCGACGAAUUAAGCUGACAGGCCGACGAAAAAUUUUCGUCGGCUAAAGUGCUUGUCCUGGUAGUGGUAGAAUACAACAAUCGAUGAUCCAAAAUAGAAGCACCGCAAUUUUGGAAUCUAGCGAACCAUAAAUUGUAUCUUAUACUCUCUUGACACGAACAAGACAUAUAGAAGAAUUGAGGAUUCUCAAUCUAAUAUUUAAGGAGAAAUGAGUAUGGGUUUAUAUAGAACCCCAAGUGAACCAACAUGUCCGUUCACUUAUCUCCUUGAAGAGACACACUUAUUCCUAAAGACACCUAUUGAAAAAGACACACCCUUUCAAAUGGAAAAGUCAUGAGUAAUUUUAUUUUCAUUCAUAUUUGAUAUUAUUACAUAAUUUCCAACAAGAGGAGCAUGAAAACCAGUAAACCACAUGCAAGUGAUGGGUUGGCCAGAGAUCGGAGAGACGUGCGGUCACUUUUACCGAAAAAUACAGAAAGAUUCGUCGGGCUCUUCCCCUUGAUUCUCUUCCUAUGGUCGAUGAACGUGGGUUUCGAGGGUAUAGGAGGACAUAAACAACGGUGAGAGACUACGAUCAGAUAGCGGUGGUCCGACGUCCUGGCUCAGCCGGACGACGGCAGCUAGAUUCUGAGUUCUCUCUACCCUCUCCCUCUCCUCGCUUCGGCGUUGUUUCUGGGUGCUAGGACCAUGCUUCAUCAACUUUCACCACUCCCAUAUUACCCAGUUUAACCAAUGAACUCCUGUUCCAACUUUUUUUUUUUUUUUUAACUAGAAAAAGUCCACUAACAGUAGCUUUUGGGCUUGAGUGAAACGAGAGGUUAUAUAUGCUACUGCCACGUCAGUAUGGUGAUAGAUCACCCAGUGAACUGAAAAAUUUUCGGACCAUAAAUAGUCGAUAUAUAAAACACGAUGAUCAAAAUUAAUCAUUUUAAAACCAUGGUGACAAACAUAACUAUGACUUCAAACCACGAUGACCAUUUAUAACUUUUACCUAUAACAAAAUGCAUCUUUUAUAUACUGCACGACUAUUGCUAAAUAACUAGGCAUUGAUGAUGAGCAUGUUUAGAAUGGGAGAUGGAAAAAAUUGAUAUGUAAAUAUUUUAUUUUCAUUGUAUACUUAUCAUACAGAAUCAAAAUAAGAAUGCAACUAAAUCGGUAUAGGUACCAUGAUAAAUAAUAAAUAGUACUUUCAGGGAUAGUCAUUAGAAAGUUGAGCUUAAUAAUUUAAUAUAAUAUUACUUUAGUGCUAUUAGAAACAGAUCGCCAUUUUCUCCCUUUGAAAACAAUGCAACACACACAUGCAAAACCUAUACACAAUUUUGUGUUUUGGACUACUCAAUUAUAUAAGAUGGAACUCUCGGAGUCCAUGUUGUAGGAUGGUUGUUUUACAUGUAUUUCGAU
rnacentral:lncRNA from 1 species